AGUGAACGCUGGCGGUAGGCCUAACACAUGCAAGUCGAACGGCAGCACAGAGGAGCUUGCUCCUUGGGUGGCGAGUGGCGGACGGGUGAGGAAUACAUCGGAAUCUACUCUGUCGUGGGGGAUAACGUAGGGAAACUUACGCUAAUACCGCAUACGACCUACGGGUGAAAGCAGGGGAUCUUCGGACCUUGCGCGAUUGAAUGAGCCGAUGUCGGAUUAGCUAGUUGGCGGGGUAAAGGCCCACCAAGGCGACGAUCCGUAGCUGGUCUGAGAGGAUGAACAGCCACACUGGAACUGAGACACGGUCCAGACUCCUACGGGAGGCAGCAGUGGGGAAUAUUGGACAAGGGGCGCAAGCCUGAUCCAGCCAUACCGCGUGGGUGAAGAAGGCCUUCGGGUUGUAAAGCCCUUUUGUUGGGAAAGAAAUCCAUCUGGUUAAUACCCGGGUGGGAUGACGGUACCCAAAGAAUAAGCACCGGCUAACUUCGUGCCAGCAGCCGCCGUAA
rnacentral:rRNA from 1 species